GACGAACCGUGCGAACGUUGUUCGGAAUCACUGGGCUUAAAGGGCGCGUAGGCGGUUGGGCAAGUCAGGGGGGAAAUCUUUCGGCUCAACCGGAAAACUGCCUUUGAUACUGACUGGCUGGAGGGAGAUAGGGGUUGCGGGAACUACCAGUGGAGCGGUGAAAUGCGUUGAUAUUGGUAGGAACGCCGGUGGCGAAAGCGCGCAACUGGAUCUCUUCUGACGCUGAGGCGCGAAAGCUAGGGGAGCAAAUGGG
rnacentral:rRNA from 1 species